UUACGGUCAUAGCACGUUUAAAUACAGGUUCUCGUCCGAUCAACGAAGUUAAAUAACGUUGAACCUGGUCAAUGCCGAGAUGGGCGACCAUUCGGGAAUACCAGGUGCUGUAAG